rnacentral:lncRNA from 1 species
GGAAGGCGAUAAAGACAGGCGGGAGUCGGAUGACAAGUUCUGGGAUUUUGCAAGGCAGUUCUUUUUUGAACUUUGGGGGUUCCGCCAGCGGCCCUACCCGCCUGGCCGGCCUAUUGACGUUGCUCAGGCUAUUGGGUAUAAGCGGCUCGAAAAGCAGUAUUAAGAUUGUAAGUUUGUUCAUUUAAAUCUCUAUGGUGAAUGCAUUUGCAUAUGUUAGUUUGAAGAAUGUAGUUUUUUUAAUUUGGUUUUGCUGCUUAGCGUAGUGAGAUUAUGAAAUGGAUUUUCGAGCCGGGUUUAAAAUUUCGUGUGGUUAUUUCAUCACUAUGAGAAUUGGCUACAAAGGUUUCAAUUACAGUGAAAUGCAGAAUUGGCUACAAAUGUUUUAAUCACAGUUCAGUGGUUCGGCUCAAGUUAAAGAAAUGUCACAUUCUUCGAUUGCAUUGUUAACCAAUGAUUUCUCGACUCGAAACUCGUUAUUGACAUUCUAGAUUCCUUUUGGAGAAAAGGGUUGUGUUAUGUUGUCUUGAUUGUUUGUCUGCAAUAGCAUUGAUUUUACGUUGAUACAGUUAU